rnacentral:rRNA from 1 species
GAUGAACGCUGGCGGCGUGCCUAAUACAUGCAAGUCGAGCGAACAGACGAGGAGCUUGCUCCUCUGACGUUAGCGGCGGACGGGUGAGUAACACGUGGAUAACCUACCUAUAAGACUGGGAUAACUUCGGGAAACCGGAGCUAAUACCGGAUAAUAUAUUGAACCGCAUGGUUCAAUAGUGAAAGACGGUUUUGCUGUCACUUAUAGAUGGAUCCGCGCCGCAUUAGCUAGUUGGUAAGGUAACGGCUUACCAAGGCAACGAUGCGUAGCCGACCUGAGAGGGGGAGCGGCCCCACUGGAGCUGAGACACGGUCCAGACUCGUACGGGAGGCAGGAGUAGGGAAUCUUCCGCAAGGGGCGAAAGCCUGACGGAGCAACGCCGCGUGAGUGAUGAAGGUCUUCGGAUCGUAAAACUCUGUUAUUAGGGAAGAACAAAUGUGUAAGUAACUAUGCACGUCUUGACGGUACCUAAGCAGAAGGCCACGGCUAACUACGU